GAGUGCAAACUGGCUGGGUAUAAAAGAUAUCACAAAACAAACCAAAAUAGCGGAGUGGCGGAGAAGACCUUUCUUAGGAGACCGUUAGCCCCCUACAACAUUACUUAUCCCAACGUUGUAGACAGAAAAGACUGGAAAUUUUGAGAAUACAUUUUGGAUUCUGGUGAUUGUUUCCAGAAGAGCAACGUCAAAGGGUUCAUAUAACUCAGAGCGACAAAGGGACACCACUGCUAAUCUGACGAUUAAUAUAAACUGAAGCUUUCAAGCGUGCUGGAUGAUACAGAAAGUGAAAUGAACGUACCAAAGGCGACAUAGAUGAAUUUGGAAGACAGGCAAACAACAACUGCACAUGGUACCACGAUACAAUCAUGACUAUUCACGGCUGAAAUAUCAGACUCAGAAAUUAUAUUCUUGGACGCAAAAGUGUGCGAAAGAGAGAGGUUUAACAAGGAAUCGACCCUUAUUCCAAAAGCAUUACAAAGAUACGGAGACCUUCGAAUGCUUGAAUUUACAUUCGUGUCAUUCGUUAGGCGCAAAGAAAGGAUUCGUAAGAAUAAAUUCGUAACGCUUAAAGAAGAGGCGAUACCAAGAUGAGAUUUUUAAGAAACGUUUCUCUGAAUUUAAUUUCACCAUGAGAGAAAGGUCGCUCCAAAUCUUACAAGGGAUUAGGCUUUCGCUUGAUCAAAAAAAGUUUCCCCGUCUAACGGUCACCUUGACAAGUAUUGCUGGAUGUUACUUUGAAAUCACUAUGAUUUUAACGAGUAUUUCCGAAGUUAUUCGGUGGACGAUUAAAUUGUGAUGCAUACUUCCUUACGAAGAAUUGUCUUUCGUUAGUUUGUUUUCAGUUUCUGUUAACUGAAAUAUCCUUUUUGCCCGCGAAUGCUCGAUGGCCAGUAGGUAGUGGGUAAGUAUUAUCUGACAAUGUGCGGAGCCUGAUAAUUCUAGCAAUCCGUUGUGAAUAUUUUUUAACUUAAAUCAUCUGACCAGUUUUUGAGGUUAAUGUUGUUACUUUGAAUGGAGAUAAUUCUAAGUGAUGAAAAUAAAAUCUCCAACACACAGAACA